rnacentral:lncRNA from 1 species
GUGAUUGUGGAAAACAGCAAUUACAUUGUGAGCUGAAGGUUGAAAUCUGAUUGUGGGGAACUUCAUAUUAAAAGCCUUAACUAUUUUCCUCUGCAGUUUACAGAGAGGUUAAUAAAAGAUUUAUGGGCAUUGACAAUGAAAGCUGGAAUGUGCCCAAAAUAAAGAAAGAAAGAAAGUAGAGCCUUGAAAUCAUCGUGGGACAUAGAUGAGUAGAAAGAUGGAAAAGAAUUAAAUCAGGAAGAGUGGAUAUAGGUAAAGACCAACCAAAGGAGAAAGUCUAAUAUAAUACAAAGGAUAUCUGAUUUCAAGGUGGUACUCAAAGUUUUUCUAGAUCUUGGUUGGUCCACAUCGGACUC